rnacentral:rRNA from 1 species
GACGAACGCUGGCGGCGUGCUUAACACAUGCAAGUCGAACGCUGAAGCUCAGCUUUUGUUGGGUGGAUGAGUGGCGAACGGGUGAGUAACACGUGAGUAACCUGCCUUCUUCUUUGGGAUAACGCCCGGAAACGGGCGCUAAUACUGGAUAUUCACUGGUCUUCGCAUGGGGGUUGGUGGAAAGGGUUUUUCUGGUGGGGGAUGGGCUCGCGGCCUAUCAGCUUGUUGGUGGGGUGAUGGCCUACCAAGGCUUUGACGGGUAGCCGGCCUGAGAGGGUGACCGGUCACAUUGGGACUGAGAUACGGCCCAGACUCCUACGGGAGGCAGCAGUGGGGAAUAUUGCACAAUGGGCGCAAGCCUGAUGCAGCGACGCCGCGUGAGGGAUGGAGGCCUUCGGGUUGUGAACCUCUUUCGCUCAUGGUCAAGCCGCAACAAUGGUUGUGGUGAGGGUAGUGGGUAAAGAAGCGCCGGCUAACUACGUG